UCAUUAAAAAUUUGCUACCAUUAUGUAUAAUUCAUUUUUUUUAAUGUAAAUGUUUUUAAGUAUUUGUAGGAUAAAGGCAAAUUACACUUAUUCAUUCUUUCUUUGAUAUAAUACAUGUAGCUCUUUACCUGAAAUCAAUGUUUGUCAAAUUAUUGUGCAUAAAUUAGAAGUAUGCAUGUUUCUCUUAAGUCAGUUAUGUUUCAGGAACUAUCUUUAAUGAAUUGUAUAGAAAAUUGUGGACGAGGUGUUAGGUGUACAGGAACAUGGUAUAUUAUAAACAUGUAUAGUAUCUCAUAGUAUAUAAACUCAUAACUUUGAUUAUGCAGUAUGCUUUGUAUAUUAUUUCUGAAAGCAUGUAUAUUUCAAUCAAGAUUGUUGAGGUUAAUUGUGCUUCUUUUAUGCUAUCUCUGAAAGCAUGUAUAUUUCAAUCAAGAUUGUUGAGUAAACUUUUCUUACUUUAUGCUAUCUCUGAAAGCAUGUAUAUUUCAGUCAAGAUUGUUGAGUAAAUUGUGCUUAUUUUAUGCUUUUUUUCUUUUUUACAUUAGAAAAUUCCACACCUUUAUCACGAGGAAAUCUGCAAUGGCAUUUAGGAAUGACAAAUAGAAGCUCAACUAUUCGAAGCAGGAGACCGAAGAGAAAAAAGGAAGAGAGAUGAUAUUACAGCUGCAGAAAAGGAAAUAAUUGAAAACGCAGAAGAAUAUAUUAAUGUACUGUGUGAAAUAUGUGACUUGUAUAAGCAAUCAGUUGCAAAUCAGUCUGCUGUCAUAGAAAAUCAAAAUAUAAUUAUUAAUUUAUUAAAAAAAUAAAUCAUGCAUUUCAAAUAUUA